AGAUGGAGAGGGACUUGGUUCGUCGGCUGUUGCAAUCAGUCGCGUGCCACGGUCCACCAAGCUGAACAUGGAGGACCUCGUUGAGAAGAUGGAGAGGGACUUGGUUCGUCGGCUGUUGCAAUCAGUCGCGUGCCACGGUCCACCAAGCUGAACAUGGAGGACCUCGUUGAGAAGAUGGAGAGGGACUUGGUUCGUCGGCUGUGGCAAUCAGUCGCGUGCCACGGUCCACCAAGCUGAAC